AUGUAAAUUUAUUAAUUUUUUUUUGUAAAUUUUCGCAAUCACCAACUGCCAUUUAUUUAUAGCGCUCACUGAAUUUGUUGCUCCGCCAAUGCAAUGCAACCGCAAGAACGAAAUGUCAAUAAGUAGACUUAUAUUAUUUGCACUUAGUAUUUUUUAUACACAAAUCACGUCGGGGUCACCAAUGUUGGCUUUUUUAUUAGUUUUUGAAAAAUUAAAAAAACGAAUUUCGGGUUGCUUUAUGCUUGCUAACAAUAUAUUGGCGAAAGAGAGUACAACAGACGAGACGAGAGUGCAUUUAAUGUCGAGAUGCUGGGCCCGAGAAUGCAAGUACACAAAAAUGAGAGCGCUAGAUAGAGAGAGAUACCUUUCGCGAUGCAAUUACUCCUAAUGGGCCAGUAGUAAAUCUGUUGGAGUUUCGCUAAGGUUUUUGCCAUACCUCCGAGCAUUGCCAUGUCGCCGUUGUGAUCUUGCCGGAUAAGAGUCACCAUCCGUGCUUCAGAAAUCCAUAGUUUCCAUUCAAAUUCAUCGCUUUCUUCCCUUUUGAAGCGUGAUUUCUUGAAUAGAAGUCCUUCUUCCCACCAUAUUCCGGACACUAAAACUCAGUCGUCUCAAAGUCGAAGAACUCCACUUCGGCGGCUUCAUUAGGUCGGAAUAGCAUGUCGGCCACGAUGAUGUCCUUCCCUUUUCGGUACUCAAUGUUGAAGCCAAAUGCCUUUAAUGGACGAGAUGAGGACCGAGGAAAUCACCUUCACAUUCAAGGCAAGAGUUCAAAUGCUUCAGCUUAAAUAUAGACCUCACCACCAAACUAAAGAUAGUGCGUGGCCCCUAUGCAACACGCUAGAUAAGGAUAACACCCAGGGCUUCAUGGCAAGAUGCCCGAUACUGCAGGAAAUCCGACUUUAUCCCUUCGUCAGGAAAGCGAUGACUAAAGAUGAGUUGAUCAACAUAUUAAAUGGGACUAACUGGGACCCGAUAGCAGCGU